rnacentral:rRNA from 1 species
UAAGGAAUAUUGGUCAAUGGGCGGAAGCCUGAACCAGCCAUGCCGCGUGCAGGAAGACGGCCCUACGGGUUGUAAACUGCUUUUGUACCGGAAUAAACCCCCGUUCGAGAUCGGGGCUGAAUGUACGGUAAGAAUAAGGAUCGGCUAACUCCGUGCCAGCAGCCGCGGUAAUACGGAGGAUCCGAGCGUUAUCCGGAUUUAUUGGGUUUAAAGGGUGCGUAGGCGGCCUAUUAAGUCAGGGGUGAAAGACGGUAGCUCAACUAUCGCAGUGCCUUUGAUACUGAUAGGCUUGAAUGUACUUGAGGUAGGCGGAAUGUGACAAGUAGCGGUGAAAUGCAUAGAUAUGUCACAGAACACCAAUUGCGAAGGCAGCUUACUAAAGUAUGAUUGACGCUGAGGCACGAAAGCGUGGGGAUCAAACAGGAUUAGAUACCCCUGUAGUCC